GUUGGUUGGGAUCAUCUCUGACUCCUGAACUACCUGCCUGAGGUUUAUGCCUUCAUUAUUUCUAACUAGGUUUUCUGCCUGUCUGGUACUACUCGGUACAAAGAGACACAUAAUUACCUACUGGAUGUGGCAACACUUUCCACAGUGUUUCAAAUUUAUCUUUAUUUUGGUGCUGGAAAUGGAACACAGGGCCUUUCCCAUGCAGGGCUAGGACUUUGCCACUAUGUUAUGCCUCCAGCAGGAUACCUCCUUUUGAAAGUUAAAUGUGUACUUCUGCUAAGCCUGGGAGUCUUGGAUGAGCAUGUCUAACUAUCCUCUGCUGUUGAUAAUGCUCGAGAAUGUCAGAAUAACACCACAGGCCAGUUUGAUAGGCCUUAGCUCACUGGUCAGGCACCCAAUCUGCCCCUAGGAGACUGAGCACUGCUACCUUCCCUCUGGAUGAUUCUUCUAGUAGCUCCCAUUCUCUGAGUUGCUCGUCUCUGGUCUUUAAAACAGGCUUUCUGAAAAGCCUCUGUUCUAGAACGUUCUAACAGAGAAAUCUCUCUACACUUUUGAUUGCCACGGUUGCCUUACCCCAUAUUUGAGUGCAAUGGAAGAUAAAUUUGUUGAAAUUUAAGAUCAUCCAUCUCUAACUGUACAGAAUAAGAGCUGUCAGCUCAGCAGAGGACUGUCACUCAGUCCAGGGUGUACAGCUGCUGGGUUGAGCUGGUGUGUGUGUGUGUGUGCAUGUGCACGUGGGUGCAUGCGCAUGUGCACGUGUGUGAAUGUGUAUGUGUGAAUAUCUGUUUGCUGGAGGCAUGAAGAAGCACUUAGCUGGGAGAACACUGUUUCUCUGAAGCCAGAAAAUAUUUUUUUUCCCUCAGCACAUUAAAGCAUGCCGUUAUGCUAAGAAAAAAUGACUGCAAAAUUAUAUCUUGAGGGUUUCCAUAUUUAUCCACCCCCCUGGACGAUGAGUCAAAACAAGACUUAUUUGUAUAGUUCAUUUUAAACUGCCAGCACUUCAAGUUCAGCUUGGAAUGUGGGGGAAAAAAAUCAAACUGCUAUUUUUUGCUCCCUGCUGUACAUUGUCACGAAGGACAAAGAUCACAGACUGAGAUUUUGCCUGCAACCAGGAAGGGAGAGAGAAGUGGACCAGAACCUCUAUGGUUGAAGAAUCGUUCUGCUUUGAGGCUGGAGCAAGGAGGUCUGGAAAAGCGACAAAUUCACCUAUGCAUUAGCAGAUGUAGCAUGGGGCACGUGAAGACAAGCAGAAUGUCCCAGGGUUCUAGCUGUGCCUCCCAAGCUGUGGGUGCCGUUGGACAAGUCACUUCCUCUCUUUGUUCUCUAAAGUGAGGUGCACGCACGUGCACGAGCAUCUGUAUCUGUGUAUGUGUGCUGUUUGUCAAGCUCAGAGAUGUUGAUCUAUAUGGAUUCACCUUUCCAUCCAUUUCUUUUUUACUUCCUCAAUAUAUAGGCCUUACUUAUAUGGUUCUAACUGGAUGAUUAAAAAAC
rnacentral:lncRNA from 1 species